rnacentral:rRNA from 1 species
UAAGACGGAGGGGGCUAGCGUUGUUCGGAAUGACUGGGCGUAAAGCGCGCGUAGGCGGUUCGGUAAGUUGGAUGUGAAAGCCCGGGGCUUAACCCCGGAUGUGCGUUCAAGACUGCCGAACUUGAGACCGGAAGGGGAGAGCGGAAUUCCCAGUGUAGAGGUGAAAUUCGUAGAUAUUGGGAAGAACACCGGUGGCGAAGGCGGCUCUCUGGUCCGGUUCUGACGCUGAGGCGCGAAAGCGUGGGGAGCAAACAGGAUUAGAUACCCUGGUAGUCCACUGCUGUAAACGAUGAGCGCUAGAUGUCGGGGGGCUUGCCCCUCGGUGUCGCAGCUAACGCAUUAAGCGCUCCGCCUGGGAAGUACGGCCGCAAGGUUA